rnacentral:rRNA from 1 species
AGUGAACGCUGGCGGCGUGCCUAAUACAUGCAAGUCGAACGGAGUGGCGCACGGGUGAGGAAUAUAUAGCUAAUCUGCCCCUUGCUGGAGGUCAACAGUUAGAAAUGACUGCUAAUACUCCAUAGAAAGGGAUGAUACUAUAUCGUAUCAGCUAGUCGGUGGGGUAACGGCGUACCGAGGCGAUGACGCGUAACUGGUCUGAGAGGAUGAUCAGUCACAUCGGAACUGAGACACGGGCCAAACUCCUUCGGGAGGCAGCAGUAGGGAAUACUGCGCAAUGGGGGAAACCCUGACGCAUCAACGCCGCGUGGAGGACGACACUUUUCGGAGCGUAAGCUCCUUUUGUUAGGGACGCGGUACCUAACGAAUAAGCACCGGCUAACUCCGUGCCAGCAGCCGCGGUAAUUC